rnacentral:rRNA from 1 species
GAUGAACGCUGGCGGCGUGCUUAACACAUGCAAGUCGAACGGUGAAGCCAAGCUUGCUUGGUGGAUCAGUGGCGAACGGGUGAGUAACACGUGAGCAACCUGCCCUGGACUCUGGGAUAAGCGCUGGAAACGGUGUCUAAUACUGGAUAUGAGAUGUGAUCGCAUGGUCAUGUUUGGAAAGAUUUUUCGGUCUGGGAUGGGCUCGCGGCCUAUCAGCUUGUUGGUGAGGUAAUGGCUCACCAAGGCGUCGACGGGUAGCCGGCCUGAGAGGGUGACCGGCCACACUGGGACUGAGACACGGCCUAGACUCCUACGGGAGGCAGCAGUGGGGAAUAUUGCACAAUGGGCGGAAGCCUGAUGCAGCAACGCCGCGUGAGGGAUGACGGCCUUCGGGUUGUAAACCUCUUUUAGCAGGGAAGAAGCGUAAGUGACGGUACCUGCAGAAAAAGCGCCGGCUAACUACGUGCCAGCAGCCGCGGUAAUACGUAGGGCGCAAGCGUUAUCCGGAAUUAUUGGGCGUAAAGAGCUCGUAGGCGGUUUGUCGCGUCUGCUGUGAAAUCCCGAGGCUCAACCUCGGGUCUGCAGUGGGUACGGGCAGACUAGAGUGCGGUAGGGGAGAUUGGAAUUCCUGGUGUAGCGGUGGAAUGCGCAGAUAUCAGGAGGAACACCGAUGGCGAAGGCAGAUCUCUGGGCCGUAACUGACGCUGAGGAGCGAAAGGGUGGGGAGCAAACAGGCUUAGAUACCCUGGUAGUCCACCCCGUAAACGUUGGGAACUAGUUGUGGGGACCAUUCCACGGUUUCCGUGACGCAGCUAACGCAUUAAGUUCCCCGCCUGGGGAGUACGGCCGCAAGGCUAAAACUCAAAGGAAUUGACGGGGACCCGCACAAGCGGCGGAGCAUGCGGAUUAAUUCGAUGCAACGCGAAGAACCUUACCAAGGCUUGACAUACACCAGAACACCGUAGAAAUACGGGACUCUUUGGACACUGGUGAACAGGUGGUGCAUGGUUGUCGUCAGCUCGUGUCGUGAGAUGUUGGGUUAAGUCCCGCAACGAGCGCAACCCUCGUUCUAUGUUGCCAGCACGUAAUGGUGGGAACUC